UGCGCAGGCGGUUAUAUAAGACAGAUGUGAAAUCCCCGGGCUCAACCUGGGAACUGCAUUUGUGACUGUAUAGCUAGAGUACGGCAGAGGGGGAUGGAAUUUCGCGUGUAGCAGUGAAAUGCGUAGAUAUGCGGAGGAACACCGAUGGCGAAGGCAAUCCCCUGGGCCUGUACUGACGCUCAUGCACGAAAGCGUGGGGAGCAAACA
rnacentral:rRNA from 1 species